CACAUGCUCUACUGGCUGAGCCAGCCAGGCGCCCUCAGAUAACUUCUUUAAAAAGGAGGCAUGGGAGGUGGACUUUCUGAGUCUUUGCAUAUCUGAAAAUGUGCUUGUUCUAUUCUUACUCAGUAUCAGCUGAGUUUGGGAUUCACAAUGAAGGCUCUUUCCUGCAAGCCUGAAGCCAUUACUGAAUUGUCUUCUGGUACACUAACAUGAGGGUUAUUGUGAGGAUUAAAUGACAGAAGGCAUGGGAAUUGCUCAUCCCAGUGCCUGGUAUAUACUGAGUGCUUAAUAUGGGGAGUUAUUACUGUGGAUAAUAUGGACUGAGCAUGCUCCAAGUCUGGAGAAGGGGGUGACCAAAUCCAUCCGCCUGGAGGUAGAAGCCAUACAAGAAAGAUUUCCCCCAUCUAUCAAUUCCUGCUUCUGCUUUUUUUUUUUCUUUUGAAAAAACAACUCUUAGUUCAAAA